ACAAGCGGUGGAGUAUGUGGUUAAUCGAUGCAACGCGAAGAACCUUACCUGGUCUUGACAUCCCGGAGACCCUUAGGAAACUAGGGGGUGCUUCCAUCUGGAAGAAUCUGGAGACAGGUGCUGCAUGGCUGUCGUCAGCUCGUGUCGUGAGAUGUUGGGUUAAGUCCCGCAACGAGCGCAACCCUUGCCUUUAGUUGCCAGCAGUUCGGCUGGGCACUCUAAAGGGACUGCCGGUGUUAAACCGGAGGAAGGUGGGGAUGACGUCAAGUCCUCAUGGCCUUUAUGACCAGGGCUACACACGUACUACAAUGGCCGAUACAAAGGGCAGCGACACUGCGAGGUGAAGCCAAUCCCGUAAAAUCGGUCUCAGUCCGGAUUGGAGUCUGCAACUCGACUCCAUGAAGUUGGAAUCGCUAGUAAUCGUGGAUCAGCAUGCCACGGUGAAUACGUUCCCGGGCCUU
rnacentral:rRNA from 1 species